CUUCACAUUGACGGUUGUAUUAUUUCGAGAGUCGCGCUAACCUGAUUAAUUAUUCAUCAUAUAAUUUCAUAUCUCCAUUAUUAUUUUUGGUGUUAUUCUGAGUGCUAAAGCAAAAGACUUAGAAUAAAGUCCGCGUUGUUUGCAAACGGGAAUUACAUUUUAUCAGUGGUUAUUGAAUGUGUACAUAAGUGUGUGCUUUGCUCGAUCUCUCAACAAGUGUAUUGGAACAGCUGGCACAAAAAAAAAGCUCUUCUAGCGAAACCAUCAGAAGCGCUGCGAAUUCAUUUAAGUCACUUCACAUUAUUUGGUCCUUGCGGUGAUAUUGUUAGUGGCAACUGCGAGCUUUCCGGCGAAUACAAACGCGAGUCCAAUUCGCUUGAGCGGUCGCCAUUUGAUACUGAAACAUCGUCAUCACGUUCAUCUGCGGGCGGCUGUGAAUACGCCAGCGCCAACGAAAAUCGACUGCAGAAUGUUGUCGGAGCAAUUGAUCAACGCGACGAAGCUUGCGAAUGAAACUAAGAAGGAGAUUGAAGAGCUCUUGACGAUUUAUGCGAAGAAUCACUCUCACGCAAACUUAAACGCCAGCAACCAUUUUUUUGAGCUUACAAGAUUUGCAGCUAAAGCAUGACCUUAUCGAAGAGGUCAAGGCCAAUGUGAACGAUACAUAUGAUGCUUCUGAUGUUAAGUCCCUCGAUGAAGAGGUGGGAAAGAUAACGAGAACAUUGUACGUCCUUCAUCAAUUGCUCAGAGAUGUGAUGUCGUUGAAUAUGACAGCGGCUGAUAAACAAACAUUCGGUGUAAUUCAGGAAAAAAGUUGAGCACAAUGGAGAGAAGGCUAUGGGGUUGCUCAAGUUGUCUUUUGAUUUAUCGCAUACGACAAUGGUGGAUUACAAUCAGAAACACAUUUGGCCAGAGUAUGCUGCCGCCAAUCACACGCUCGAAGUCUUGCGUGUGAUUGAGAAGAAAUAUGCGCGAUUGGCGCAACUCCUAUGCUAAAUAAUCCGCAGCAGCAGCAGUAGCAGCAGCUAAAGAAGCUGACAAGCAACAGCAACAGCAACAGUGUACAAGAAAAUGCCAAAAAAGAAAGAAAGAAAAAUCUACAGCAAGAUCAUCGAAUUCAUAUCGUAUACGUAUAUUAAGUAUACGCAACUGUACUUAACAUACUUACAUUUUUUUUUUGUUAUGUGUACUAUUCAUGUGUACUAUUUAAUCAAUGUUUACUAAUAGCAUAUAGUAGCUAAUACCGUGAAUUCAUUAUUUAUUUAUCUCAUUAUGAUUUAAUGUAAUUUUAAUUUUAAUUUUACUUUGAUUUAGAAUUUGAUAGCAUUAUUUAUCGUAUUAUUACUGCAUAAUGCAUAUUAUAUUUAAUUCAUCACACACCGAAUAUUAUUUACUAUUUAUAUCGCAUUUCUAAUUCUAUUCCUUGCUCUAUUCACAUCAAUAUUUAUAUAUUUAUUUCUUAUGUCUUCUGUUCUCGUUGCUAAUGUAAGCCCCAAGUA